GAAAUGCGAUAAGUAAUGUGAAUUGCAGAAUUCAGUGAAUCAUCGAAUCUUUGAACGCACAUUGCGCCCGCCAGUAUUCUGGCGGGCAUGCCUGUUCGAGCGUCAUUUCAACCAUCAAGCCCCCGGGCUUGUGUUGGGGACCUGCGGCUGCCGCAGGCCCCGAAAACCAGUGGCGGGCUCGCUGUCACACCGGGCGUAGUAGAUUUUUCGUCUCGCCCAGGGCGUGCUGCGGGUUCCGGCCGUUAAAAAGCCUCUCUUUUUACCCAAGGUUGACCUCGGAUCAGGUAGGAAGACCCGCUGAACUUAAGC
rnacentral:misc_RNA from 1 species